rnacentral:rRNA from 1 species
UGCUAAUACCGCAUAGGAAGUUUUGUUCGCAUGAACAAACUUAGAAAGAUGGCUCUGCUAUCACUUAUCGAUGGCCUUGCGGUGCAUUAACUAGUUGGCGAGGGUAAACGGGCUCACCAAGGUGAUGAUGCAUAGCCGACCUGAGAGGGUAAUCGGCCACAUUAGGACUGAGACACGGCCCAAACUCCUACGGGAGGCAGCAGUAGGGAAUCUUCCGCAAUGGACGCAAGUCUGACGGAGCAACGCCGCGUGAGUGAAGAAGGUUUUCGGAUCGUAAAACUCUGUUGUAAGAGAAGAACAAAUUGUAGAGUAACUGCUACAGUCUUGACGGUAUCUUACCAGAAAGCCACGGCUAACUACGUGCCAGCAGCCGCGGUAAAU